GCUUUAAUAAUUUAAUUUAAAAUAUUGAUCUUGUAAAUCAAAAAUAACUAAUGUUUUAAAGCU
rnacentral:tRNA from 1 species